GACGAACGCUGGCGGCGUGCUUAACACAUGCAAGUCGAACGGAAAGGCCCUGCUUUUGUGGUGUGCUCGAGUGGCGAACGGGUGAGUAACACGUGAGUAACCUGCCCUUGUCUUUGGGAUAACUUCAGGAAACUGGGGCUAAUACCGUAUAGGAUCUCCUGCUGCAUGGUGGGGGUUGGAAAGUUUCGGCGGUUGGGGAUGGACUCGCGGCUUAUCAGCUUGUUGGUGGGGUAGUGGCUUACCAAGGCUUUGACGGGUAGCCGGCCUGAGUGGGUGACCGGCCACAAUGGGACUGAGAGACGGCGCAGACUGGAACGGGAGGCAGCAGUGGGGAAUAUUGCACAAUGGGCGGAAGCCGGAUGAAGAAACGCCGCGUGCGGGAUGACGGCCUUCGGGUUGUAAAAAGCUUUAGCCUGUGACGAAGCGGGAGUGACGGUAAUGGGUAAAGAAGCACCGGCUAACUACGUG
rnacentral:rRNA from 1 species